CUCCAGACACAUAAUUCAGUUACAUUCUGUAGCACUUUAAACUUCAAAACAAAUAUGCCAGCAAAUUGAAACAAUCUUCCCUUGUUAUAAAUGUCUAUAUAUAUGUAUAUCAGUAUAUAUAUAUAUAUAUAUAUAAUUUAUUUUCUUCUUACCACUGGGGUAAUUGUUUCCCGCCUUCAUUAGCUUGUUUCCGUUUCUUUUCUUUCGUAUGGUUUCGAGAAACAGCCGUUAAAGUACGCAUUACAACAGGGACAUGUGAUCCACGACUCUCAAGGUCAUCCACGCAGCAACAGCCCAGAAGGGAGUCUGUCAGCCCAGAAGGAACGCUUGUGUGUUCACCUCAUUCAGUAACAGGCCAUGGCAGGUCAUCUUAAUCUAGAACCUUCUCCAACCUUCUAGAACAUUCUAGAACCGCCCGUCAAACAUAGAAAAUAAUCCAGAGGCUGGAUACACCAGAACGCACGAAGAACACACGCACACACACACACAUGUUGAACACAAUGAACACGCACGCACACAUUCACACACACACACACACACACACACACACACACACACACACACACACACACACACACACACACACACACACACACACACACACACACUCACACACACACACCCACACACACACACACACAGACACACACACACACACAUACACAAACUCACUCUUGCCUGCACACAAACACACACACACACACACACACACACACACACACACACGUUUAACACACACACUACCAAGCCCACGUAAAUGACUGUUGUGCGAAAUAUACACUCUCCAUUUAAAUUACAUUAGAUUUACAUGUUUCUUCAUACUUCACAAAAACACAUUUUGUACAAUAUGUUUACAACAAAAUGGAGGAGUCGAUGACCAGCAAAAGAGCCCACUAGAGAAAAGCAUGUGGUGCAGGAAACCCUGUCUACCAACCAGAUCCAAAAGGAGAUUUCUAUGCACGUAUGUCUGUGUAUGUAUCUGUUUGUGUGUGCAUGUUCUUAGUGUGUGCACUGUACCUAAUUUGUGACUACAGCAACAGAGAGAGAGAGAGUGAGCAAGAGAGAGAGAGAACGAGUGUUAGCCAAAUGAUUCAGAACUAAGUGAAUUUGAGUAGCUCUGUGAUCCAUCCAUCGGUCUAUCCGUCUGUCUACCUCUGUCUGUCUGUCUGCCUUUCUGUCUGCCCCCAUCACCACCAACUCUGUCUGCUCUCCUCCCCAGCUAUCUGGCUUGCCACACUGCUACAGAGGUGAUCUGCUGAUCGGGGAGGCUUGCUUGUUCGCAGGCACACCAUCAUGUCACCGCAUCGCAGUGUCUGUGGUGCAUCUGAAUACGACCGAAGGAAAAACACAAUACAAAUAAAAAGAUCAACGCGCCGUGGGGGAAACACAGCCUAAAUGGAGUCGCGCAGAGCAAACAAUCGCUUCAGACCCUGCACUGCGGAAACCCUGUGUCACAGCUGUGUGACAAAGACAUCUCUCUCCGGUGUCCUUUAUUUACCCUUCAUGUGCAUGUGCACUCGCGUCGCGUGCACUUUCAAACACACAGACACACAAACACACACAAGCAGUCCGUAGUCUUAGUCUUCUGUUACGAUGUCUCUGUCCACUGCCGGAGGAAAAACCCAUCCCGGCAGUACAGUUCCCAGUCUUUGUUUGUGUGUUUGGUGCGUCGACCUCUUUCUUCAGGCAGUGGAGGAUAUGAUGUCACAAGACAUCCUGAGGGGCGCGAAGUCAGCUCUUGCCGCAAUCCAGCCGGGGUCCCACGAUAAAUCUGUGUUUGUUUCUUGGUUUGUGUGUGUCGGUCGGUUUGUUUGUUUGUUGUUGGUGUGGUGACGGUGGUUUUGGUUUGGUUGGUGUGGUGGAUGUUGUUGUUGUUUUUGUUGUAUGUUUGUUCUAACUGCGGUCGUGAUCCUCUCAGUACAGGACCCUGAGCAGGAACUCGGCCAGGAUGGAUACGCCCACCGUGACACAGAGGCUGCGCUGUGAUUGGUCGCCGCCGCCGCCGCUCUCCGCCUCGUCCCGGUUCCGAGACUCUAUGGAGCCC
ensembl:lncRNA